GAUGAACGCUAGCGGGAGGCCUAACACAUGCAAGCCGAGCGGUAUAGAAUCUUCGGAUUUUAGAGAGCGGCGUACGGGUGCGGGACACGUGUGCAACCUACCUUUAUCUGGAGGAUAGCCUUUCGAAAGGAAGAAUUAAUACUCCAUAAUAUAUUGAUUGGCAUCAAUUAAUAUUGAAAAGCUCCGGCGGAUAGAGAUGGGCACGCGCAAGAUUAGUUAGUUGGUGAGGUAACGGCUCACCAAGACGAUGAUCUUUAGGGGGCCUGAGAGGGUGAUCCCCACACUGGUACUGAGACACGGACCAGACUCUACGGGAGCAGCAGUGAGGAAUAUUGGACAAAUGGGUGCAAGCCUGAUCCAGCCAUCCCGCGUGAAGGACG
rnacentral:rRNA from 1 species